rnacentral:rRNA from 1 species
AUUGAACGCUGGCGGCAGGCCUAACACAUGCAAGUCGAGCGAGCGGCGGACGGGUGAGUAAUGUAUGGGGACUGCCCGAUAGAGGGGGAUAACUACUGGAAACGGUGGCUAAUACCGCAUACUAUCGGAUAACCCAUAUGGGAUUAGCUAGUAGGUGGGGUAAAGGCUCACCUAGGCGAGGAUCUCUAGCUGGUCGGAGAGGAGGAUCAGCCGCACUGGGACUGGACCACCGACCUUGCUCCUACGGACGCAGCAAUGGGGAACAUUGCACAAUGGGCGCAAGCCUGAUACAGCCAUGCCGCGUGUAUGAAGAAGACCUUAGGGUUGUAAAGUACUUUCUGCGGGGAGGCGUUACCCGCAGAAGAAGCACCGGCUAACUCCGUGCCAGCAGCCGCGGUAAUAC